UAAGGGAAGACUCUUCAGAUGCAAGUACGAUUUUGCCAGUAUUGAAUCUAUAGUGUCGAUAUAUGGCAACCUCCUAUUGGUCUAUGUUAGUGUACUAAAAAUGGGUGUAACAAUAUCAUCGAUUUAUUUCUCAACCAUUUAAUUAUUUUUAAGAAAUAAUUAGACACAAAGGGAGCACAAAAUUUAUGUGGUUCACCAAUGGCAGCUAACACACACACACACACACAUACAUAAUGAAUGUGAUCAUGAAGAUGAAAGAGAAACCAUCCCCUGUUUAAUAAGCAAAGUAAAAUACUCUCCCACCCUACGGAUGCAUUUUUGUCGUUUCAUUUUAUAAAUUUUCUAGAAACCCCAUUUCCGUUUGCUGUAAGGAAAUGUUCAUUUCUGUUUCCCUCCCAUUUCUUGUAAAAUGCUCUUUUCAUCAUUUCCUUACCUGUGUUACGUAAUUCUCAAGAAUUAACAAAAAAGAGAGGAAGCAAUCAAUCUCUC